rnacentral:snoRNA from 1 species
AAUUCAUGGUGUGGGCAUUUCCUGACCAACAUUUUAAAAUACUCUCAUGCUUCAUGAAAGCUUUCCCCUUGUAACUAUUUGAACAUCGAAAUUUUCUUUCUUAGCUU